AACAUUCAUAAAUAACUACAAAUUCAUGAUUAUAAAUAAAUUAAACUUCUGUUGCCUAAUUUUUCAGCUUGCUAUGCCGAUCUUCAAACUUGGAUUCCUUUUUGCCGAUCCUAACCUUAUUUUUCUGUUCAAACAAAAAGAAAACAAAAAAAAUAUGAGCUACACUAGCCCAGUAAGUAGAACUUGCACUUCCUUAUCGGAUCAAGCAGAAGUUUUUCAUGAUAAUGCAAUAUUUAGAAAAUAACAGAUAAUAUAAAAUAAAGCAUUUCAUAGAGCAUAUAACAAAACAAGUUAUAAACUCAUCAUGCAUGCAUAAAUCAUGUAUAUUUCACAAUCAUGAAUCCUAAAUCAUUUUCAUCAUGUAUUCAUGUCAUGUUUCAAAACAUUGCUCACAGAUAUUCGUGCUA
rnacentral:lncRNA from 1 species